rnacentral:rRNA from 1 species
ACUCCUACGGGAGGCAGCAGUGGGGAAUAUUGGACAAUGGGGGAACCCGUGAUCCAGCCAUGCCGCGUGUGUGAAGAAGGCCUUAUGGUUGUAAAGCACUUUAAGCGAGGAGGAGGCUACUAGUAUUAAUACUACUGGAUAGUGGACGUUACUCGCAGAAUAAGCACCGGCUAACUCUGUGCCAGCAGCCGCGGUAAUACAGAGGGUGCGAGCGUUAAUCGGAAUUACUGGGCGUAAAGCGCACGCAGGCGGUUUGUUAAGUCAGAUGUGAAAUCCCCGGGCUCAACCUGGGAACUGCAUCUGAUACUGGCAAGCUUGAGUCUCGUAGAGGGGGUAGAAUUCCAGGUGUAGCGGUGAAAUGCGUAGAGAUCUGGAGGAAUACCGGUGGCGAAGGCGGCCCCCUGGACGAAGACUGACGCUCAGGUGCGAAAGCGUGGGAGCAAACA